GUAGGUUUAGUUCAGUGGUAGAGUAUGUGCUUCAUAUGCACAAGGUCCUAGGUUUAAUCUCCAGUACCUCCA
rnacentral:tRNA from 1 species